rnacentral:rRNA from 1 species
UACGGAGGGUGCAAGCGUUAAUCGGAAUUACUGGGCGUAAAGCGUGCGCAGGCGGUUUGUUAAGUCCGUUGUGAAAGCCCCGAGCUCAACUUGGGAAUUGCAGUGGAUACUGGCAGGCUGGAGUACGGUAGAGGAAGGUGGAAUUCCCGGUGUAGCAGUGAAAUGCGUAGAUAUCGGGAGGAACACCAGUGGCGAAGGCGGCCUUCUGGACCAGUACUGACGCUCAUGCACGAAAGUGUGGGGAGCAAACAGG